GACGAACGCUGGCGGCGUGCUUAACACAUGCAAGUCGAACGGAAAGGCCCUGCUUUUGUGGGGUGCUCGAGUGGCGAACGGGUGAGUAACACGUGAGUAACCUGCCCUUGACUUUGGGAUAACUUCAGGAAACUGGGGCUAAUACCGGAUAGGAGCUCCUGCUGCAUGGUGGGGGUUGGAAAGUUUCGGCGGUUGGGGAUGGACUCGCGGCUUAUCAGCUUGUUGGUGGGGUAGUGGCUUACCAAGGCUUUGACGGGUAGCCGGCCUGAGAGGGUGACCGGCCACAUUGGGACUGAGAUACGACCCAGACUCCUACUGGAGGCAGCAGUGCAGAAUAUUACACAAUGGGCGGAAGCCUGAUGCAGCAACGCCGCGUGCGGGAUGACGGCCUUCGGGUUGUAAACCGCUUUCGCCUGUGACGAAGCGUGAGUGACGGUAAUGGGUAAAGAAGCACCGGCUAACUACGUG
rnacentral:rRNA from 1 species